AGAAGCAGGGGAUCGUAAGACCUUGCGCUUUUGGAGCGGCCGAUGUCUGAUUAGCUAGUUGGUGGGGUAAUGGCCUACCAAAGCUUCGAUCAGUAGCUGGUCUGAGAGGACGGCCAGCCACACUGGGACUGAGACACGGCCCAGACUCCUACGGGAGGCAGCAGUGGGGAAUUUUGGACAAUGGGCGCAAGCCUGAUCCAGCCAUGCCGCGUGAGUGAAGAAGGCCUUCGGGUUGUAAAGCUCUUUCAGCCGGGAAGAAAAGGCUGCGACUAAUAAUCGCAGUUCAUGACGGUACCGGAAGAAGAAGCACCGGCUAACUACGUGCCAGCAGCCGCGGUAAUACGUAGGGUGCGAGCGUUAAUCGGAAUUACUGGGCGUAAAGGGUGCGCAGGCGGUUUUGUAAGUCAGAUGUGAAAUCCCCGGGCUUAACCUGGGAACUGCGUUUGAAACUACAAAGCUAGA
rnacentral:rRNA from 1 species